GGCGAUCUUUUCACAUCAAACUCCACUACGAGAAAAGAAAAAAAAAGAAAGACUUGCGCCACAGUGGAGAUUCGAUUGAUCAUCGCUAUCCCCUUUUGAGUUUUCCAGACUCUGUGAACCAGUGGAUAUUCGUAUGGCCGGCCACUGCCAUACCCUGCCGGACUUAGAGCAUCACAAUCGGCAUCCGUCAAAGCUAAAUACGAUCAAACGCCCCAUAGGUUUUGUGAUACGGAGUUAGAGAUUGGCGCUAUUCUGAUGAAAGAUCUAUCAUCUCUGCUCUGGCUAAUAAGACAGUUGGUAGCUAUUCAAGAAGAGCUACUUGAUUAAAUAUAAAGAGAGCAAAGAGUAGGGAGGCAAUGAGACAGUAGAGAAUCAGAAGUGUUACCAACAAAGGAUGCAAUUUCAACAUGAUUGGUAGACCCAAUGCGGCUGGCUAAUCUUCUUUGCAGGAUAGCCUUUAUUGUCUACAACAAUCUGUCAUUAACACAGAUUGAACACCACAAUGGACAUUAAUGUUACACAAAUUAUACCAAGGAGACCACGUGAAGUACAGGAUGGAGAACUUUCCUUGCAUAAUGGAAAAUCAAUAUCUUAAAUAGAGGACUUGGAGUGGAACUUAGAGACAAAGGUAUCAAAGGAUACAUGUCCAAGUAGAAAGUAAAACCGAUUCAACAACAUUCAUUUCGUUUGACAAAGCGACUGAGAAAUUUGUAUCUAAGACUGUAAAAGAACUUGCAGAGAUAUAAGCAGAGCUUAUAAACCUGCUGAAGAUGGAAAAUGAGAAGAUGAUAGCAUGCUUAUUCAAAUGCUUCGCAAACGAAACAAUGCUACUAAACAAAAUGCAUCAAAGAAGAAGAAAAAUUGAAGGAGGAAAAAUAGCAACUACAAAAUUCAAUUUAAUUUUCAGUUUUUGUUUUCCCUCCUACCUGUUCUACUAUUUUUAAAGAGGGAUUGAAAUUGUGGAACUUUGAAAUCUGAAAGUGUAAUGUUAUUUAUACAAAGUUGAUUAUUUCAUAGAUUUUAGUCAAUAUUUCACCCUAUCUGCAUAAUUACUAGGGUUAGCUACUUUAAACUUUUAUUUUAAUGGUAGACAAUUGUAGAAAAUGUAUUUUGUUGUUGUAAUUUUAUGGUUGCUGGUGGGUGAAUUUUCAAUAAUAAAACAAUGAAUGUAAUUGCUAUUAAAUUGACAGGUUUGUAGUGGUAUCAUCUUAAUAUCUUUUGGUUAAUUUUUUGUUUAUAGUUUGUGAAAUUUCUAUUGCUAUGACAGCCUUGCAGCUAUUCUUUGAUGAUAACUUCAUAUUAUCCAACCAACUGAUGUGAAUGCUCUUAGGGUGUUUAUGUGUUGAUCA